rnacentral:tRNA from 2 species
GCCGGCUUAGCUCAGCGGCAGAGCAACUGUUUCGUAAACAGUAGGUCCCCGGUUCGAAUCCGGGAGCCGGCUCCU